GCCAGGCUCUUCUGACCAUGGGAUUUCCAGGUGGACUCGUUACCCCUGAACCACCUGUGAAGCCCCUCUCGCUUAUAUUUCCUCACAAAACGUGGAGGCAUUUCGGUGCUUUAUGGGCUCUAGCUGGAGAGGCAGCAGGGUGCAGAAAGGGUGGUGUCAGGUCAGAGCACGCGCGGUACCCGGACUGUGCAGAAGUACCGGCGGAGGCGGAGGGGCUCAGCGACUGUGGCAGCCAGUCUGGGGGUCCUAACAGAAGCGGCAGACGUGCCCGACUGAGGUCAUGAGGAGUGAAGCCCAGUAGAUGCGGUGGUACCGAGUUGACAGUGGGAUGCCUCAUGUUCAAGGAAUAGAGCAGAAGAUAGAAGAAAGCUACGGUACACGGUGGCUGGCUGGACAGUGGAUUUGCCUUGUCUGCCAGUGGAGAGUGGAUGGUUCUCCAUAUGUUGACUCAGGGGCCCAGGAGACUUCCAUCCGGAGAUUCUGCAGUUCCCUUGGACCUAGUUGUCAUCUGCAUCGAGCUGGUGGAGGAGGGAAAGAGGAGAGUAUGGAGCAAAGACGCCUGCCUUCUUAAAAGCCCAGGUCCAGAAGGGGCACAGUUCACAGUGAGAAUGGGUUAUGAGUUUCCACCUAGGUGCAAAAGGAGUGGAAACUGGGUUUUACAGGCUGGGCAGAUGCUUUCCAGUUACAACUUUGUAUUGAGAAAUUGGAGACCAUUCUGAUAGGUAGUCUUUCCCACCCUGAAUAGACAUACUUGUUCAGGGGUGGAACUGGGGUGGGGUAGCUGAUACUUCGCAGAGCCUUGGAGUUUCCUAAGUGGCUGGUGGGGUAAGCCAGUGACACAUAGGUGACAAGACCAAUGAUUUAUCCAUUUAUCUUCUAAGUGAAGGAGUGGCUUUUUUUCUCUCCCCCUUCCUUGAAAUCAUCUGCUUGCCUAUAUAACAUUACUGAUUAAUUAAAAAAAAAUCCUUUUUUUUGCCUAAUUAUUUUGGUCUGGUAUGACCAUAGUACUGAAUUUCAUUUCUGAUUUAACUUAAACCAUUAUCAACAGUCUAAACUGUUAAUACUUGCACCUACUAAGUCCUUUUAUUUAAGAACAAAGCCCUUGGAAGCACUAAAAGCAUGCAGUGUUUUUUUUUUCUCUUUAAAGGAUUUUGAUGACUACAUGGCUUUUGACUACUAAGAAUUGGAAUUUCACUUCAAAAUGAGUGUCAGACUUAUUUUUCAAGUGCCUUGUCAUAAAUGCAUUGCUAUCCAUGUAAUAAAGUAAUUUCCCCUUGUGUGACAAAUAUAGCACUAAAGAAGAAUGAGCCUUGUCUGAUAAAAUGGCUUUUAUUAAUCCCCUAAUGUUUUUAUUUUGUUGUAGAAUUAUGAUUAGUUUCAAGAGAG